UACGUAGGCGGAAGAUUAAGUCAGUGGUGAAAUCCUGCAGCUUAACUGUAGAACUGUCAUUGAUACUGGUUUUCUUGAAUUUAGUUGAGGUAGGCGGAAUGUGUAAUGUAGCGGUGAAAUGCAUAGAUAUUACACAGAACACCGAUUUCGAAGGCAGCUUACUAAACUAUGAUUGACGCUGAGGUACGAAAGCGUGGGGAGCGAACAGGAUUAGAUACCCUGGUAGUCC
rnacentral:rRNA from 1 species